UUGAAUCUUUCCUGAUGGGAGAACAGGACAUAAAGCAGGAAACAUUUGAUGUUGCAGUGAACUCAAGAAACUGAUAAAUGAAUACAUAUAUAGAAAACAAGAAUGCAGUGAAAAAUAGUUUGCUAUUUAUAGAAGUUUUAUGAAAAGAAUAAGUAAAAAGUUAGACAGGAUAUACAUUUUAAACUCGGGGAAAAAAUACAAAUAAACUGUUAAGUUUUGAUGAAUGCUACAGUAUAUCAAAUUUAUGAAAAGCUUUAUGUGGGAUGGAUUCAAAAAAUAUUUAAAGUAGCACAUUUUUUAUUUAUUCACUUCGAUAAGUAUAUAUGUAUAUAUUACGCCCAAACAGCAAUGCUCAACAUGAUUUUGCUUCAUGGCCAUCGUGUGGGAAUCACAACAUAUUGUGGGCAACUCUACCAAAACCAAUAGGUGCUCCGAGCAUUUUGAAAUGAC
rnacentral:lncRNA from 1 species